GAUAAACGCUAGCUACAGGCUUAACACAUGCAAGUUGAGGGGUAACAUUGGCUGAGCUUGCUCAGCCAGAUGACGACCGGCGCACGGGUGAGUAACGCGUAUCCAACCUUCCCCUUAGUAGAGGAUAGCCCGGCGAAAGUCGGAUUAAUACUCUAUGUUGUAUUUUGAGGACAUCUGACGAAUACCAAAGAUUUAUCGCUAAGGGAUGGGGAUGCGUCUGAUUAGCUUGUUGGCGGGGUAACGGCCCACCAAGGCGACGAUCAGUAGGGGUUCUGAGAGGAAGGUCCCCCACAUUGGUACUGAGACACGGACCAAACUCC
rnacentral:rRNA from 1 species